UGGGGAAUUUUGGACAAUGGGGGAAACCCUGAUCCAUCCAUCCCGCGUGUGCGAUGAAGGCCUUCGGGUUGUAAAGCACUUUUGGCAGGAAAGAAACGUCAUGGGUUAAUACCCCGUGAAACUGACGGUACCUGCAGAAUAAGCACCGGCUAACUACGUGCCAGCAGCCGCGUUAAUACGUAGGGUGCAAGCGUUAAUCGGAAUUACUGGGCGUAAAGCGUGCGCAGGCGGUUCGGAAAGAAAGAUGUGAAAUCCCAGAGCUCAACUUUGGAACUGCAUUUUUAACUACCUGGCUAGAGUGUGUCAGAGGGAGGAGGAAUUCUGCGUGUAGCAGUGAAAUGCGUAGAUAUGCGGAGGAACACCGAUGGCGAAGGCAGCCUCCUGGGAUAACACUGACGCUCAUGCACGAAAGCGUGGGGAGCAAACAGG
rnacentral:rRNA from 1 species